rnacentral:rRNA from 1 species
UACGUAGGGGGCCAGCGUUGUCCGGAAUCAUUGGGCGUAAAGGGUGCGUAGGUGGCGAGGUAAGUCGGAUGUGAAAGCUCGGAGCUCAACUCCGAAAUGGCAUUGGAAACUACCUUGCUCGAGGAUUGGAGGGGGGACUGGAAUACUUGGUGUAGCAGUGAAAUGCGUAGAUAUCAAGUGGAACACCAGUGGCGAAGGCGAGUCCCUGGACAACUCCUGACACUGAGGCACGAAAGCUAGGGGAGCAAACAGG